rnacentral:rRNA from 1 species
AGUGAACGCUGGCGGUAGGCCUAACACAUGCAAGUCGAACGGCAGCACAGUAAUAGCUUGCUCUUACGGGUGCCGAGUGGCGGACGGGUGAUGAAUACAUCGGAAGCUACUUUUUCUUGGGGGAUAACGUAGGGAAACUUACGCUAAUACCGCAUACGACCUACGGGUGAAAGCAGGGGAUCUUCGGACCUUGCGCGAUUGAAUGAGCCGAUGUCGGAUUAGCUAGUUGGCGGGGUAAAGGCCCACCAAGGCGACGAUCCGUAGCUGGUCUGAGAGGAUGAUCAGCCACACUGGAACUGAGACACGGUCCAGACUCCUACGGGAGGCAGCAGUGGGGAAUAUUGGACAAUGGGCGCAAGCCUGAUCCAGCCAUACCGCGUGGGUGAAGAAGGCCUUCGGGUUGUAAAGCACUUUUGUUGGGAAAGAAAAGCAGCAGGUUAAUACCCCGCUGUUCUGACGGUACCAAAAGAAUAAGCACCGGCUAACUUCGUG